AUGGCGCUUGCGUCGGGCUCCGGCAGUGGCGGAGGGGGGAGUGACCUCUCCAUGAGGGUGAUAGGCUCCGACUUCGUGGUGGAUGUCGACGCAGCGCUCCUCGCCUCCCCUGCCAACCGUGAGGAGUGGCACGACUGCAUCCCCGACCUCGGCGACGACUUCUCCGACCUCGAGGAGCUCCAGGUGGUCCGCGUGCAAGGCGCGGACAGAUCCGGCCGGCCCGUCGUCCGGGUCGUCAGCAAGUUCUUUCCCGGUGUCGUGUUGGCGAUCGGGUUCGGAGUGCUCGGAUCGAAGGUGGCCGAGCAGUGGUACGAGGUCUACAAGAUGGACAAGCAGGGGGCCAACCUCUGGUUCAUCUACUGGUGGGAGGACAAGGUUUCUUCUGGCUCUAAAUGUUAG
rnacentral:rRNA from 1 species